AUCCAGUUGAUGAGUCCCAAAUAGGACGAAACGCCCGUCAAACUGGAU
rnacentral:hammerhead_ribozyme from 1 species